rnacentral:rRNA from 1 species
AUUUAUCGAGGAAUCGUGUGACAGGUGCUGCAUGGCUGUCGUCAGUUCGUGUCGUGAGAUGUUGGGUUAAGUCCCGCAACGAACGCAACCCCUGUCUUUAGUUACCAGCAUUAAGUUGGGGACUCUAGAGAGACUGCCAAGGUGACAACUUGAGGAAGGUGGGGACGACGUCAAGUCAUCAUGGUCCUUACGUCCAGGGCUAGAAACGUACUACAAUGGUUGGCACAGAGGGGAGCAACACAGCGAUGUGAAGCAAAUCCUUAAAACCAACCUCAGUUCGGAUUGGAGUCUGCAACUCGACUCCAUGAAGUUGGAAUCGCUAGUAAUCGCGGAUCAGCAAUGCCGCGGUGAAUACGUUCCCGGGUCUUGUACACNCCGCCCGUCAAGUCAA